rnacentral:tRNA from 1 species
GGCCCGUUAGCUCAGUUGGUAGAGCAGCGGAUUGAAAAUCCGCGUGUCCCUGGUUCGAAUCCGGGACGGGCCACCA